AAUAGAUACCCUGGUAGUCCUUGCCGUAAACAAUGUAUACUUGGUGUAGCCGGACUCAACCCUGGCUGUGCCGUAGCUAACGCGAUAAGUAUACCGCCUGGGGAGUACGCUCGCAAGGGUGAAACUCAAAAGAAUUGACGGGGACCCGCACAAGCAGUGGAGCAUGUGGUUUAAUUCGAUGCAACGCGAAGAACCUUACCCAGGCUUGACAUACAGUGGACCGGACUAGAGAUAGUCCCUUCCGCAAGGACCGCUGUACAGGUGCUGCAUGGCUGUCGUCAGCUCGUGCCGUGAGGUGUUGGGUUAAGUCCCGCAACGAGCGCAACCCUUAUCAUUAGUUGCCAACACGUAAAGGUGGGAACUCUAAUGAGACUGCCCGGGUUAACCGGGGAGGAAGGUGAGGAUGACGUCAAGUCCGCAUGGCCCUUAUGUCUGGGGCUACACACGUGCUACAAUGGCCGGUACAGAGGGCAGCCAAACCGCGAGGUGGAGCAAAUCCCAAAAAGCCGGCCUCAGUUCAGAUUGUAGU
rnacentral:rRNA from 1 species